rnacentral:misc_RNA from 1 species
UGGCUCUCGCAUNGAUGAAGAACGCAGCGAACUGCGAUAAGUAAUGUGAAUUGCAGAAUUCAGUGAAUCAUCGAAUCUUUGAACGCAACUUGCGCCUUUUGGUAUUCCGAAAGGCAUGCCUGUUUGAGUGUCAUGUGGACUCAACCCCCGAGGUUUUUUGCCUUGGACGGUUGGAAUUGGGCGCUGCCUUUGGCUCGCCUUAAAAGCGUUAGUGGGAACAGCCCCAUCUCAGGUGUAAUAAGUUUCACUUGUGAUCCGGUGACAGCCCGCUUACAACCCCCAUAUUUAUGACUCUGGCCUCAAAUCAGGUAGGACUACCCGCUGA